GAUUUAUGUAGGGCGCGUUCUCGCUCGCCAGAAAGAGCUGCUGUUUGGUUGCAGUUCCCCCUGGUGGCCAGAGGCAGAGCAAGGGCUGUUACAAAAAAAGGGAGCGAAAGCAGAACCCAUCGAGCUCCUAAUUGGCUAGCUUUAUAGGUUUUGGCCCAGGUUGUACACCUGAGGAUAAUACUAAUGGCUCUCUGUGGGCUGAAUACCAUGUUGGUGAGCUCAGUUUUAUGAAGGGAACGUUCGUUUUAUAAAACUACUGCCCCGAAGAGUCACAGAAUCCUGAAACACCCAAAAAAGUUUUCAGGAAACAAGAGGACAGCAGAUCAAGUAAAGGGCAUCCCAAGGAAUCAGAUGGAGGAAAAUUAAGGUUGAAAUCCAGGCCCAUUGAUCCCAAAGUCCAUGUUGUUAGGCCACAAAGAAUCAACAAAUCACACCCUGCCUCCCCUGGAUCGGAAGAGAGUUUCCACCCUCACCUCUCCUGCCUGGCUGGGGGAGAGAGAAUCCAGUGGGGGCUACUGAAGAGAACA